rnacentral:rRNA from 2 species
AAAGAAACCAACAGGGAUUGCCUCAGUAACGGCGAGUGAAGCGGCAAGAGCUCAAAUUUGAAAGCUGGCUCCUUCGGGGUCCGCAUUGUAAUUUGCAGAGGAUGCUUCGGGCAUGGCCCCCGUCUAAGUGCCCUGGAAGGGGCCGUCAUAGAGGGUGAGAAUCCCGUCUGGGACGGGGUGUCCGUGUCCGUGUGAAGCUCCUUCGACGAGUCGAGUUGUUUGGGAAUGCAGCUCUAAAUGGGUGGUAAAUUUCAUCUAAAGCUAAAUACUGGCCGGAGACCGAUAGCGCACAAGUAGAGUGAUCGAAAGAUGAAAAGCACUUUGAAAAGAGAGUUAAACAGCACGUGAAAUUGUUGAAAGGGAAGCGUUUGCGACCAGACUCGCCCGCGGGGUUCAACCGGCAUUCGUGCCGGUGUACUUCCCCGUGGGCGGGCCAGCGUCGGUUUGGGCGGCCGGUCAAAGGCCUCCGGAAUGUAUCGCCCUUCGGGGUUGUCUUAUAGCCGGGGGUGCAAUGCGGCCUGCCUGGACCGAGGAACGCGCUUCGGCUCGGACGCUGGCGUAAUGGUCGUAAAUGAC